rnacentral:tRNA from 1 species
CAAAGAAUAGUUUAAUGUGAGAAUACUAGCUUUGGGGGUUAGUGGUAGGAGUUAAAAUCUCCUUUUUUUGA